rnacentral:tRNA from 1 species
GCGGGGAUAGAGCAACGGUGGCUCAUCAGGCUCAUAACUUGAAUAUCGGCAGGUUCGACUCCUUCCUUGCCCCU